rnacentral:rRNA from 1 species
CCUACGGGAGGCAGCAGUGGGGAAUAUUGCUCAAUGGGCGCAACCCUGAUGCAGCCACGCCGCGUGAGUGAAGAAGGACUUCGGGAUGUAAACCUCUUUCAGCAGGGAAGAAAACGACGGUACUUGUCUCAGGAGCGCCGGCUAACUACGGGCCAGCAGCCGCGGUAAUACGUCGGGCGCAAGCGUUAUUCGGAUUUACUGGGUGUAAAGGGAGCGUAGGCGGUGAUGCAAGUCAGACGUGAAAGCCCUCGGCUCAACUGCGGGACUGCUUUUGAAACUGGAUGACUAGAGUGCAGGAGAGGUAAGUAGAAUUCCUAGUGUAGCGGUGAAAUGCGUAGAGAUUAGGAGGAACACCAGUGGCGAAGGCGGCUUACUGGACUGUAAAUGACGCUGAGGCUCGAAAGCGUGGGGAGCAAACAGGAUUAGAUACCCUUGUAGUC